rfam:Asian citrus Psyllid, Diaphorina citri - Florida Strain, whole genome shotgun sequence.
GCCUAGUUAGCUUAGUUGGUAGUACGUCUGCCUUGUAAGCGCUAGGCCGCGGGUUCGAUUCCCGCCCGGGGCG